AUUGAACGCUGGCGGCAGGCCUAACACAUGCAAGUCGAGCGGAUGAAGGGAGCUUGCUCCUGGAUUCAGCGGCGGACGGGUGAGUAAUGCCUAGGAAUCUGCCUGGUAGUGGGGGAUAACGUCCGGAAACGGGCGCUAAUACCGCAUACGUCCUGAGGGAGAAAGUGGGGGAUCUUCGGACCUCACGCUAUCAGAUGAGCCUAGGUCGGAUUAGCUAGUUGGUGGGGUAAAGGCCUACCAAGGCGACGAUCCGUAACUGGUCUGACAGGAUGAUCAGUCACACUGGAAGUGAGAAACGGUCCAGACUCCUACAGGAGGCAGCAGUGGGGAAUAUUGGACGAUGGGCGAAAGCCUGAUCCAGCCAUGCCGCGUGUGUGAAGAAGGUCUUCGGAUUGUAAAGCACUUUAAGUUGGGAGGAAGGGCAGUAAGUUAAUACCUUGCUGUUUUGACGUUACCAACAGAAUAAGCACCGGCUAACUUCGUG
rnacentral:rRNA from 1 species